UACGGGGGGGGCAAGCGUUGUUCGGAAUUACUGGGCGUAAAGGGCUCGUAGGCGGCCAACUAAGUCAGACGUGAAAUCCCUCGGCUUAACCGGGGAACUGCGUCUGAUACUGGAUGGCUAGAGAUUGGGAGAGGGAUGCGGAAUUCCAGGUGUAGCGGUGAAAUGCGUAGAUAUCUGGAGGAACACCGGUGGCGAAGGCGGCAUCCUGGACCAACACUGACACUGAAAAGCGAAAGCCAGGGGAGCAAACGGG
rnacentral:rRNA from 1 species